rnacentral:rRNA from 1 species
UACGUAGGGUGCGAGCGUUAAUCGGAAUUACUGGGCGUAAAGCGUGCGCAGGCGGUUUUGUAAGUCUGUCGUGAAAUCCCCCGGGCUUAACCUGGGAAUUGCGAUGGAGACUGCAAGGCUAGAAUCUGGCAGAGGGGGGUAGAAUUCCACGUGUAGCAGUGAAAUGCGUAGAGAUGUGGAGGAACACCGAUGGCGAAGGCAGCCCCCCUGGGUCAAGAUUGACGCUCAUGCACGAAAGCGUGGGGAGCAAACGAGG